GGGAGAGUAGACCGCGCUCGUCAGUUUGUGCGCUAAAUCGAUAGAUAUAACAGGGACCGUGGACAUUACACCCUUCCCCCCCCCAAGGUGUCCACGUGAUAUGUGGAUGGCCCCUAAGCCAACAAAAAAAAAAUGAAAACUUCGUGAACAAUGCAUAAAUUUGGACACCAAUUUGUUUGCUUCAUUUUCAAUUAGAUAUGAACUAUGUAAAGUGCAUCAAUAUAAGCGUAAUUGGAGAGGUCUAUUCGUAUCUUAUCAGUUGGUAGAAUGGCCCAUACCAGCUCGUGUUUUUCUUAUUUUAGUGGAUAAUAGCAAGCAAAAAAUAAAAUACGGCCAUAUGAAAAUGCUGCUCAUAGUGAUUGUUUUUUCAUUAUGGUUUAGUAUGGCUAGCGCCGCUAGCAGUGACGAAUUCAUGGAUCCGAGUUGGGUUAAGCCGGAUCCUUGGUCCCUCCACAAGCACGAACAACUUAAUGCAGCAAUGCUAGAAGAUUGCAAACGUCCACCGAUACCGCUGUUACCAUCGGUACAUCAAAGUGAGGCAGCAGACAGAAAUAACGAAUCGAUGAUGAUGUUCUACAAAAAAUUCGUUUUACAGUUGUUAGUCGAAAGCGCACUGAGUCAAGAUAGGGAUGACUCAAAUGUGUUGUUGCGUAAGCUCCAGCUGAAGGUGACGCGAGAGCAACUGGAGAAGCUUAAAAACACAAACACAGUACAGGAGCUUGACCUCAUAAGUUUCAAAAUCCUUGAUCAAUCGACAGAUAUUGUAGACUAUCAUUUUAAGGAUAUUUAUACACUAUGUCUUACCUGCAUUUUGGUAAUCUUUUGUUCAUAUCUGUUCUGGUUAAAAAUCAAGCGUGUGUCCAUAAAAAAUAAGGAUUUAAAUAUUGAUUUAUCGUUCGAGGGAAAUCGCACCGAAUGACCUUUGGUCGAAUAUCGACCAUUUGUUUUGUUCACAUAACAUAUGGAGUAUAUCUAGUGUCUUAUUUUUGAAGUAUUUCAUGAACUAAGGGGAAAUUUUUCAUCCUCACUGCCAACUACGAGCUUAAAUAAAUUUAAAAUCUAAACUAACAUGUUCAAUAAUCAGUGGUUCGAUGUUAUUGUUCGUUGGUGUUCAAGUAGCCAUAUGGUGCGUGCCACUUAGCCAGGAUAUCACGGUAGGGGAGAUGGUCCUCGGUCCUGAUUAGUGUGGGGUUCAGUUACUGAUUUCAAAAUCGAGGUCUAAACGUGUUCUUGCCGUUUUGUUGAAUGUAGGCGGAAGGGAACGAGACUAGACUGGGGCAUGUAUGAAUUUCAAGAAAAUGUAUAUAAGGGAUAGGUCACGCAUAUAGUAUAUAAGGUAGGCCAGGGCUCGCCAAGAAAUCAUGGACAGGUACAGCUGGUCGUCUACCCUCGACCACAGUAG